rnacentral:rRNA from 1 species
UACAGAGGGGGCAAGCGUUAUUCGGAAUUAUUGGGCGUAAAGGGCGCGUAGGCGGCGAGGCAAGUGGAAGGUGAAAUCCCUCGGCUCAACUGAGGAACUGCCCUCCAAACUGCUUUGCUUGAGUCCGGGAGAGGUGAGUGGAAUUCCCAGUGUAGCGGUGAAAUGCGUAGAUAUUGGGAGGAACACCAGUGGCGAAGGCGGCUCACUGGACCGGAACUGACGCUGAGGCGCGAAAGCGUGGGGAGCAAACGGG